rnacentral:lncRNA from 1 species
GGCGUCCAAAAAAAAAAAAAAAAAAAAAAAAAAAAAACUAGCAGGGUUGGUCGCCAAAAAAUCGCCAAGUUACCAUAAUCCGAAGAUUAACCGAGAGAUGUCUUUAAACAGAAAUUUUUAAGGGGAAUUGACUCCUAUUGCAUUAUGCAGAUAUAGAAAAUUUAUGUUUGGUUGAUUAUAUCAAAGCACAAUAGGGCUGUCUGCCUGAGGAGAGGAAUGCCAUUGUGGAGGUGGUUCUAAAAGAAACUGGCUGGUAUGCACAUUACACAUGGGGGCAACCACGAAAACACCCAUGCAUCCAGCCCAUUUUUCUGGAAUUUAAUCCAGGUCGGAACUGCCAGAGUUGAACAAUUUUACUGCACAACUGUUGGUGGGCUAUACAUUUAGAAAACAAUGAGUCGUGCAUAAUGUAUUGAAUUAUUAUGUAGUAUACUUUAUCUGUUUGGUUAUUCUGCAUUCAUUUGAAUGAACUGCAAAUGGUAUUAAAUACAUCUGUUGCUUAUUUUAAGAUGUGGUGAGAGCAGUGAUAAGAGUAUGAUUUCAUAAAUUAUCUCAUAUGAUAAUUUUCAUGUCAUAAUGUGAUAAUUUGUUAUUUGUGUUUCUAAUUUUUCUCAUUUUUACAGAAACAAAAUAUGUACAGUCUAUAUAUCUGUUCUCAGUUUCUUAAUUUCUUUCUUCCCCAAACUAAAAUUUCAUCUGAGAGGCCAUUAUUAUGAAAGUGUGGAUGAUAUCUUGAAAGUCAUGAUGGACCAGUUGAAGGUGAUCAUACAUGAUGAUUUUCAAUUUUGUUUCAAUUGAAGUUGCAUCUUCAGUAGAGUGUAAGAAACUGUUUCAGAUAUGAUGUGAUAUGGAUUUAUUUCUCUAGGAACAUGGAAAAUGACUGUGAACCACCAGUUUAUUACAAUACAUAUACUGGAACUAGAAUGCAGACAUAUAUGAUGGAUGAAAAAUAUGUAUGUAUGGUAUGUGGGAAAAUGUUCUCUAUGAAGGGCAAUUUAAGUGUUCAUAUGCUUAUACACACAGGAGAACGCCCUCAUCAGUGUGAAUCCUGUCUGAAAGUAUUUAGACAUAGAAAUUCUCUUAAUCGUCAUAAAAGAACUCGACACAGAAGAAUGCUUAUUGGCAAUACUUUGAGUGUUACAUCAUCUUAAUUUGUAAAGUUACAUGUGUGACAGUUAGAAGAUUUUCUUAACAGCAUUACAUCCUUUAGAACAGCAUUGUUCUCACUUCUGCUCAAAUAAGAUUAAGGAUUAUAGAAAAAAACAGAAUAUUUUUAAUAACUUCUGAACAGACCAGUAAUCCACUUGAAUACUUAAAUCAAAUGCAGGUUUUUCAACUCUUUCCAUUCCUUAUCCCCAGGAAAAGAAUUUUCUCAGGAAAUGGAUAACCAUAUAUUUGACUGUAAAAUGUGUUCUUAUGCUACAAAUAAUCGAGGAUAUUUCAACUCUGGAUCUGUCCUAUCUUCUGUAUUGGAAUCAUGUCAUAAGAAAAUGACCAAACAUAUUGUGUCUUGUGAAUUCUGCCAUUAUGUUGCAGAUAGACGUAACAUUAAAAGACACCUGCGCACUCAUACCGGAGAGCGUCCGUUCAGCUGUUAUCAUUGCAAUUCAAGGUUUUCACAAAAGGUACAUUUAACUAAACAUAUUGCGUGCAAGCAUAAAGAACUUUACCUUAAAUACUUUUAAAAAAAAAUUAACCUAUCAAAAAUAAAUGCUGAUUUAACUAUCUUCAACAUCAGCAUAUUAAUUUUUAAGUGUUUAAAUAUAUAUAUAUGAAUUGUAUUUUGCUGUAUAAUAAAAUUACAAUAUAUGCAAAAA